rnacentral:rRNA from 1 species
AACGAACGCUGGCGGCAUGCCUAACACAUGCAAGUCGAACGAUGCACGAGGGAGUUUUCUCGCUCCGGUGCAGUACCCGACGGGAGCGUCACUUGUGUGCGGUAUAACUCCCACUCUGGGAUACUCAUUCCGGACAAUGUCUUAGACCCAAAGAUAUACUGCCUUGGGAUGUCCCCGCGUUGGAUUAGCUUGUUGGCAGGGUAAAAGCCUACCCAGGCGACGUUCUAUAGCUGUUCGGAGAGGAUGAUCAGGCACACUGGGACUGAGACACGGCCCAGACUCCUACGGGAGGCAGGAGUGGGGAAUAUUGGACAAUGGGCGAAAGCCUGAUCCAGCAAUGCCGCGUGAGUGAUGAAGGCCUUAGGGUUGUAAAGCUCUUUUACCCGGGAUGAUAAUGACAGUACCGGGAGAAUAAGCUCCGGCUAACUCCGUG